CUCUUGAUGACCUGGCUGCUGUCCCGCACCGCCUGCUCGGGGGACCGGUCCAUCUCCUGCACCGUCCGCAGCAGCUCCUGGUACGCCUUCAGCGCCAGGUGCAUCCUGGGGACAUGGGGACGGGCGGCGUCAGGGCCCCGCGCCUGGGAUGGAGGGUCCCAGGCACCUGGGGGGAGCCCGAGCACCCACCUGCGGGCCCAGGUCACCGCCUCCUUCUUGUCCAUCAGCGCCAUCUCGUAGUAAGUGGUGAGGUUCUGCUCGAUGAAGUGGAAGGCGCGGACACCCACCGUCUCCGACACCAGCUCGGGGCGGAAGCCCCGGCGGCGGUUGAAGGCCAUGAAGAAGGCGGUGGCCCACAGGUAAUAGGUCUCGUCGUGCUGCUGAGCCUUCUCCCGCACCAGCUGGUCCUGGGGGGCGGCCGGGGGGGCUCAGCGGGGGUCCCGCAGCCCGGGGAAAGGCUCACAGCCCCCCCAGCCCCUCACCUUGACCAGCAGCAUCAGGCGGUUGUAGCAGCCCUCCAGGAAGUCCUGGCAGAAGCCGCGCAGGAAGAGCCGGACGUUGCGGGCGGAGCGGUGGGGGGGCUCGGCCUCGGGGGCGGCCUGGCGCCGCCGCGGCACCCGCCGCCUCUCCUUGCCCAGGUCGUGGCUGUAGCUCUUCAGCUGGGGGUGGGGGGGGACACACACAAGCAGCCGAAUUUACACCCCCGUGUCGUUGUGUGUUCCCACCCCCCCCAUCCCCGUGCUCACGUUGUGCAGCCCUUUGUGGAAGACGACGUCCCGGUCCCCGAUCGCCUUCAGGCCCUGCAGGACGUAGGACCCCCCGAAGCGGGAGUGCCUGGGCAGGGGGACGUGGGCUGAGCGGUGCCGGCCCCGCCACGGGGGUCCCGGCCCUGCCACGGGAGUGUCCCUGUCCCCCCCCCUCACCUGGACGGGCGCUGCAGCGCUCGGGCCCUCCUCUCCGCCAGCUCCCGCUGCCGCAGGGUCUCCAGCUCCCGCGUGUCCUCCCCGUGCUCAGCGGCCGCCUGCCCCUGCCCCAGCGCCGCCAGCUCCUCCGGGCUCUGUGG
rnacentral:lncRNA from 1 species